rnacentral:rRNA from 1 species
AUGGAACGCUGUCGGCAGGCCUAACACAUGCAAGUCGAACGAGUGGCGGACGGGUGAGUAAUGUCUGGUAAACUGCCCGAUGCAGGGGGAUAACUACUGGACACGGUAGCUAAUACCGCAUACCAUCGGAUGUUCCCAGAUGGGAUUAGCUAGCAGGUGGGGUAACGGCUCACCUAGGCGACGAUCCCUAGCUGGGCUGCGAGGAUGACCAGCCAAACUGGAACUGAGACACGGUCCAGACUCCUACGGGAGGCAGCAGUGGGGAAUAUUGCAGAAUGGGCGCAAGCCUGAUGCAGCCAUGCCGCGUGUAUGAAGAAGGCCUUCGGGUUGUAAAGUACUUUCAGCGAGGAGGCGUUACUCGCAGAAGAAGCACCGGCUAACUCCGUGCCAGCAGCCGCGGUAAUAC